rnacentral:rRNA from 1 species
CUACGGGUGGCUGCAGUGGGGAAUAUUGCACAAUGGGCGCAAGCCUGAUGCAGCCAUGCCGCGUGUAUGAAGAAGGCCUUCGGGUUGUAAAGUACUUUCAGCGGGGAGGAAGGGAGUAAAGUUAAUACCUUUGCUCAUUGACGUUACCCGCAGAAGAAGCACCGGCUAAUCCGUGCCCGCAGCCGCGGUAAUACGGAGGGUGCAAGCGUUAAUCGGAAUUACUGGGCGUAAAGCGCACGCAGGCGGUUUGUUAAGUCAGAUGUGAAAUCCCCGGGCUCAACCUGGGAACUGCAUCUGAUACUGGCAAGCUUGGGUCUCGUAGAGGGGGGUAGAAUUCCAGGUGUAGCGGUGAAAUGCGUAGAGAUCUGGAGGAAUACCGGUGGCGAAGGCGGCCCCCUGGACGAAGACUGACGCUCAGGUGCGAAAGCGUGGGGAGCAAACAGGAUUAGAUACCCCCGUAGUC